CCUGCCCUUAGAGACAUUGCAGGUGUGGCUGCUAAGUCACAUGUGUGUCAGUAGGUGGCAGAGAGGAGAGAGAGAGGCUAUGUCUAUGCCCAGUGUUCUGACGUAUGAACAUCUAAAUAAUUAGUAGCUUAAAAA